rnacentral:rRNA from 1 species
AUUGAACGCUGGCGGCAGGCCUAACACAUGCAAGUCGAGCGGAUGAAGGGAGCUUUCUCCUGGAUUCAGCGUCGGACGGGUGAGUAAUUCCUAUGAAUCUGCCUGGUAGUGGUGGAUAACGUCCGGAAACGGGCGCUAAUACCGCAUACGUCCUGAUGGUGAAAGUGGGUGAUCUUCGGACCUCACGCUAUCAGAUGAGCCUAGGUCGGAUUAGCUAGUUGGUGGGGUAAAGGCCUACCAAGGCGACGAUCCGUAACUGGUCUGAGAGGAUGAUCAGUCACACUGGAACUGAGACAAGGUCCAGAGUCCUACGGGAGGCAGCAGUGGGGAAUAUUGGACAAUGGGCGAAAGCAUGAUACAGCCAUGCCGCGUGUGUGAAGAAGGUCUUCGGAUUGUAAAGAACUUUAAGUUGGGAGGAAGGGAAGUAAGUUAAUACCUUGCUGUUUUGACGUUACCAACAGAAUAAGCACCGGCUAACUUCGUG